rnacentral:lncRNA from 1 species
CUGGUCAAGGUUAGCAUGUUAUUUAGUUUCAGACAUGUCAUGCUGCGCCAAUCGAUUCUAAUUUCACAUUCAAUCAGGGUAAAAUGAGUGACGGAGAAACUACAUUAUCUUGCAAACGCUCUUUCUCCUUAAUGACUUUGCCAACUGGCCUACAGGCGGAAGUCACCAUUUUAAACAGUCAGUGUCCUCGUGAUUUGCGCAGUCCUUAAUGACGCAAACCUAACAUGUUAGAAAUACCAAUCACUGUUUUGUUGGAAAGAAAGAAGUGGUAGAAGGACCCCCAAUCAUUUGCGAUUAUUCUUGAGCAGAUUCAGUAGUUGCUCACAGAUACCUGUUUGGGGUUUACUUGAUUCAAUCAUUAUGUGAACUAGCUGCUCGGUUAAUCAACCAAACCAUGGAACACUUCAAUUUAAGAUAUUUCUGUAACCUCUAAGCCGUGCAAAGCAGCCAACAAUGUUUGAUCAUUCUUGUAACCUUUAGGCUUGCAUCCUUUCAUCUCUAUAGCAACACAGUAAUUUUAGGUGCUGCAUCCUUGAAUAUCUAUGUAUGAUGUUAUAUACUCUUUUGGAUGUUUAAUUACGCCUUCAUACACCCAGAAACAUCUUGGAAAUUCAGACAUUCAAGAUAUGCCCUGCUUAUUAUUUUGGCAUGUGGCGCAACCCUUUCCUAAGAAUUUUUUGUUUGCACUCUCCCUCUCUCUGUAUUAUACAAACCAAGCGGCUGUGGUUGUAUUUUUGGUACCUGUUGUUUAUGUAGUGUUUUGUUCGUUCAGGUCAAGACGGCAUUGGAAGCCAAAUGUUCAGGAGAAACGUCUUUUCAGCUAUAUUCAUGACCGGCACAUUAGAGUCAAGGUAACCACUCAUGCACUGCGGUGCAUUGACAAAGCUGGUGGGAUCGAUGAAUACCUCCUGAAGACACCGUACAACAAAAUGGAUACUGAGAUGGGGAUAGCCUGGAAGGCUAAGAUUGAGAAACUGUAUUCAGAGCUAGCUGGAAUGGAAGUUGGUUUCUUCCCUCCUGAGGAAGAGGCUAAAAUUGAGCAGGGUUUUGAGGAGGUUCGAUCUGCCAAGAGAGAGUUCCGUAGGGAAUCAAGAAGGGUUUUGGCUUUGGCAAAGCAGAGUCAGCUAGAAGCAGGUAAAGCUGAUAAUGACGAAACAACUGAAGUCGCUGAUACAAAUGAAGAAGUGUCUGAUGUUGCAGAGAAGUCUUAGCCUGGAUCUGCAUGCCCAUCAUGAGUGGUAAAUGUAAUUCCGUAACUUUUAUGUCCUCUUCAUUUGAUUGUUAAAUAUCAAAGUUUUCUUGGAAUAUUGAUAAUGAUUGACUUGCAAAGUUUUGCUUUGUUUACCCUGAAAGUUUGAAAUGUAUACUAGAAAACGGAUGUGCUGGUAUCUUGAUAUGAUUUAUGACUACGUCAUUAUUGGUCCGUAUGAAACCUGUCAAUAUUAGUGCAGACUGCAGUACUAUUUUGGACAUCAUCUGGGUGUAAUGUUUCUUCUGUGACGUCAAUAAACAUAAGGGCAAAUUUUUGUCUGGUUAACAAUGGGUUCUGCUCAAUAUCAUCUACUUUCGGGUGUUUUGUUCUUUCAUAUUUAAUUAUUUAUAUUGGGUAGCUGGAUCUGAUUACCUGAUUCUUCGUAAGGAAUAACUGGAAAUGCAUGCCACACUUGAUUUUUGCAUGUGCCUAUGAUUUAAACAUUUGAUUUCAGCCCCCUUGUAUGCUUGCAGGGGCCCUUUUCUAGCCCAAAGUUAUGUUAUAACCGAAUUACUUUUUUUUGCAGAUAAAAAGCAGAAGAGAAACAUUGAUGUCCUUUAGCAAAUAAUGGAAGGUUUUUAUUUCAUAUGAAGAGGGGAGAAUGACUUGCGAGUUAACUGCCUCCUUCUGGGAACAGCAAUGUAUCUUAAGCCUAACUGCCUAAGUUUACCAUAUAUCGGCAGCAUCACGGUGUUGUAAGCUGUUGCAAAUUUAGUGGAAAUUUUGUACAACUGUUGAAUACUCUAGUGUCAAAAUUCAGGUAAUUUUCUGCUAUUAGCAACUGUCCUUGAACUGAAAUGUUGAAAUAAUCUACUCCCUCCGAUCCAUAUUAGUUGUCGAAAUAUUACAUGUAUCUAGACGCUUUUUAGACAUAGAUACAUCCAUAUUUGGGCAAAUUUGAGACAAUUAAUAUGGAUCUGAGGGAGUAGUAUAACUGACAGGAUAGACAGGCAAUUAGCUAGAGGUGACAUUUCCUAGUUGAUUCCUGUUACACUCCCAAUCUUUGUUACCGUUCUUGCUUCUUGAUGUCGUGUGUACUCUCGAUCAAGCUUGGUGGCAACUGAAGAUUUGUGGGGUUGUUUGGUUGGACGCACUCUACGCUGCUGUUCUUGACCUACUUACCACCUUGUAAUGAAAAUCUAGGCUAACUGGCUGACUUUGUCAGUCUGUCUUGAAGUUGCUGCCAAGUGUCAUUGCAUCUGCUUAGAAUUUUACUUUGUAAAAAACUCAAGACAUAAUCAUACUUAAGUGCUUGCUGACAUAUUAUCAACAAAGAAGUUACAUCGCCGGUUCCAUAUGAACAAACACAAAAGGCCUGAAACUGAAAGCACACGGCCAUUAUGCGGAUCCAUGCAUCUAUCCUAGCUUGGCGAGGACAUCGCUAAGAACGGUCUUGGUCUCGCCGUAGUACUUCUCGGCUUCGGCGGGGCUCUUGAUCUUGGCUGCAUGGUCAAGCUGCAAAAACGGAGGAAAAUAAUAAUAAUCUCACACAAGUCAGUCCUGAAAUCCUCGUGAAAACGAUCAGGUUUGCUGUAAAAACGGAGUGGAUGUAUGUGAAUUGGCGAGAUGUUUUACUUACCCCGUCGAGGGUGUCGAAGAGCUUCCCGGUGAGGUCCUUGAGGUCCUUCUUCUCCUCCUUGGUGGCCUUGGAGGAGAUGACGGUCUUGAGGUCGUAGCGCAGGUAGGAGGCCCUGAGGCGGAGGUCGUUCAUGACGUACGGCCAUUGCUUCUUGUCGAUGAGCGGCUUGAGGUUGAGGAUGUCCUGGGCCGACUCCUUGGCCCGGGCCGCCGCCGCCGCCGGAGGCAGCGGCUGC